rnacentral:other from 2 species
AACGCGGCUUAUCGCGGUCGGUCAGACAAGUUCGAUCCCUUUGAGUCUCUGAUUGGGAGCCGAGCGAUCUGGGCGAAGACCAGGCCUCCAUCGAGUGGAAGGUCGGGAUCUGGACCUGGGCACCCCCCUGUUUCAUCAGGGUUUCGGACACUGACACCGACUGCGAUAAGCCGCGUUU